CCAGGCUCAUCCUCUUCAGCCAGAGCCACGCUGCCGCCCAGCGAGGCCGGGUCUGGUGCCAGCGGCUCCACAUCCUGUGUUCCAGGCUCACCGUCCACCUCCUCCUCAGCCGUGGGGUCCUUCCAGAAGUCAUUGUCGUCAAAGCGCUCAGUCGGGGCGAAGCCGGUCCAGGCAAGCGACUGCUCCUCGCAGGGGGUGCUGCCCCCCGAGCCACGCGCCAGCCCUGCCGGAGGCUCCCACUGCGUGGUGCCGGUGGGGAUGUGCCAAUAAUAGGUGCCCGAGGUGUCCUGCACCCGCAUCCAUCCCGCAGGCAGGUCUGAGUCUGUCUCAAAGGAGUUGCGGGUCCAGAAGGAAUCUGCAUCAUCGGGAGAGCUGCCGGCCGGGCUGCCCUGGCUGAGCGUGGCCCAGCUGGAGUCCUCGUCGCUGGCCGUGCCGCUGCGGGGCCCGAAGAGGCGGCUGGCACUACGGCCGGGCUCCCGCAGCGCUCUCUCCCCGCUGGGCUCCGACUCUCCCGUGGUCGGGUCGCUCUGCACCGGCGUGGAAUCGCCGUCCUCGUCCUCGUCCUCUUCUUCCUCCUCCUCCUCCUCCUCGUCCUCGAUCAGCGGCGCUCCCCCCGCCGCGGCGUUGCGGGCGUUGCGGGCGCUCAGUUCCGACUGCUCGGGGGGCGGCCGCACUUCGUUGCGGUUCUGAUCGCGUUCGGCCGCGCGGCGCUGCAGGUUCUGCCCGUCCUUCAGCCAUUUGGUGCUCGGGGGCUCCUCGGGGGGGGGCAGCGCCUCGGGGGGCCGCGCAGCGCCAGGCUCAGCCCCGCCGGGCCCAGGCAGCUGUUGUCGUUGGCCACAUCGCUGCGUUUGCUCAGCGACCCCGACAUGGUGGGGCCUUCGCGCUGCGGCUCCUACAGCCCCCGCGGCGCCGGCAGCUCCGCGUCCAUGGGGCCUGCGGCGGCUCCGCUGCCGGGGGGGUGCGGGGG
rnacentral:lncRNA from 1 species